rnacentral:lncRNA from 1 species
CCUGGACGGACUCUCCUCCAACACCGUAGAGCUCGAAGUCACUCUUCUUCAAAACUCUAAUGUUCUGCAGCCCCUGCAAUGACUUGCAUAUAUGAGAACGGCAGGCGGUAUGCAAUACUCAAGGGUCUGAAUUGGAUAAACUUAAUGACAAAAUUGUAUGUAUCUCAUACAUACCUUUUGGUGCAUUGCUUGCACCAGCCUUUACAAAUGCAAGAUAAUCCUUGCAAUUUCUUUUUCAGUAUCCUGCCUUGCUGCAGUGAAAGCAGGUACCUUGUCCGAAAGCUUUCUUCCCUUUCCUCUUCAUCUUGCCACCUUUAGGGUUCAAUCCUUUUUUUGAACCCUUCAUGCCUGAUUUCUUCUUAGAGGUCUUACCCAUAAUUAGAACUGGAGCUUUGUCCUUUUUAAUAUGGCUCCCAGCUAUUUUGAGUAUGUUUAACAGCUUAGACAAAGAGGUAUUCAGUAUGUUCAUGUGAUAAUUUACAACANNNNNNNNNNNNNNNNNNNNAUUUCUUCUUAGAGGUCUUACCCAUAAUUAGAACUGGAGCUUUGUCCUUUUUAAUAUGGCUCCCAGCUAUUUUGAGUAUGUUUAACAGCUUAGACAAAGAGGUAUU